UGGGGAAUUUUGGACAAUGGGCGAAAGCCUGAUCCAGCAAUGCCGCGUGUGUGAAGAAGGCCUUCGGGUUGUAAAGCACUUUUGUCCGGAAAGAAAUCCUUGGCUCUAAUACAGUCGGGGGAUGACGGUACCGGAAGAAUAAGCACCGGCUAACUACGUGCCAGCAGCCGCGGUAAUACGUAGGGUGCAAGCGUUAAUCGGAAUUACUGGGCGUAAAGCGUGCGCAGGCGGUUUGCUAAGACCGAUGUGAAAUCCCCGGGCUCAACCUGGGAACUGCAUUGGUGACUGGCAGGCUAGAGUAUGGCAGAGGGGUAGAAUUCCACGUGUAGCAGUGAAAUGCGUAGAGAUGUGGAGGAAUACCGAUGGCGAAGGCAGCCCCCUGGGCCAAAUACUGACGCUCAUGCACGAAAGCGUGGGGAGCAAACAGGAUUAGAUACCCUGGUAGUCCACGCCCUAAACGAUGUCAACUAGUUGUUGGGGAUUCAUUUCCUUAGUAACGUAGCUAACGCGUGAAGUUGACCGCCUGGGGAGUACGGUCGCAAGAUUAAAACUUAAAUGAAUUGACGGGGUCAUAGCUGUUUCCU
rnacentral:rRNA from 1 species